rnacentral:lncRNA from 1 species
GGCAAAUCUAAUAAUAAUAUUGCUGAGGCCAAGAUUUUAUUAUUUAGGAAUUUUAGAUUAGAGUACUAAUCAAAGGUACUAAUCACACAUAGGUACAGUGCUAUGUAAGGGAACUCACAUAUGUAUUGCAUUUUAUGCUUUCAGCACUAUUGAUAUAGAAAGGAAGUAGUAAUUGCCUCAGAAAACUUUAAGCGAGUCCAAGUUGGUGGCCCAAGGACAGCUUGAGCUCUGGUCAGUUAACAAAGAUCAAGCCAUGGUCCUUUAAGGGGAUGUUUUCAGUUCAUUGCCAUAGACCAGGACUAAGAACCAUGGCAGUAAUGACAGAGGAGGAGGAUGGACAAGUGGUCUGUGUGCAUUGAAGAAAUGUUCUGUGAUCACUUAAGAAGAAAGGAAUCACAGUCACUUGUCUUUUAUUACUCAUCUGCUUCAGAAAGGUACCAAGUUUCAUGAUGUAAACAGUUUCAACAUAUAAAUUCUUACAGAAAAAAAAGUUUUUUUCAUUCUUUAAGAUUUUAUAUCUCUUGUUGUAAAAAUAACAUGGCUUUAUGUAUUUUCCCAGAGGAAAUAUUUAUAUAUCAGUAGGAAUUCACACUAGUUCUUCCCUCUGGUAAAACUGUAUAUCUGAUUUCCAAAACAAGCUGAGUAUGUCAGUCAUUUUUUGUUGGUUUUGUUGGUUGGUUUUUAGCUGCCACUCUAAAUUACAGGUAGGAGUUUCCAUGAAAAAGAUCUCAUGAUCUUUUACAACUCAAAAAAAAAAAAAUUGUCAAAUGUUCAGUUGUUUACUUUGAUCCAUCUACUUGCAAUUUGCAUAGAAUAGAUGCAGCAGAAGAUGAAGGCCUCACGGUAAUAUCAUCAAAGGAUGAUGAUUACUGAGCUCUCCCCAGUGGAUGUAGCUGCUUGCUAGGGUGGGGUGCUAAGUAGUGGUAACUGUGCAGAGUGCACUGGGACAGAGCAGGGAGUCCAGCAGUGGGCUCAGCUGGGUGCGCUGUCCCAAGGUACGUGAGAGGCAGGUGUGAUGAG